UACGGAGGGUGCGAGCGUUGUCCGGAAUCACUGGGCGUAAAGGGCGCGUAGGCGGCGCGGGGAGUCAACGGUGAAAGCUCGGCGCUCAACGCCGAGUCGGCCGUCGAUACUCCCGUGCUCGAGCACUGUAGAGGCAGGUGGAAUUCCGGGUGUAGCGGUGGAAUGCGUAGAGAUCCGGAAGAACACCGGUGGCGAAGGCGGCCUGCUGGGCAGUUGCUGACACUGAGGCGCGACAGCGUGGGGAGCAAACAGG
rnacentral:rRNA from 1 species